CUCCUGUGCGUACUUCCGCCAGCGCUCCCCGUCGUCCUCGUGGGUGAGAUAGCGGAGGCCCAUGCGCCUUUCAAACUCUCUCAGGUCACACCACAGCUGGAAGUCCUACAGGAGAUAUUACAGAUUUCAGUGAACCUGCGCUUGACGGACACCUGUAGCAGGUUGGUGAUGAGGCUGACCGCUGAUGAGAGAGAGAGUGGUGUCAGAGGGUGACUACAGUGCUUACCUCCCCUGUCCUGGCUGCCAGUACCACAACAUCGGUGAAAAUGGAAACAACAGUCAUUGACUUUCAAGUAUCAUGACUCACCCUCCAGGGAGAUGUUUGCCCAGGGUUGUCGGGGAAACAUGAAGGAAGCAUUGGUGAUCUGUUGGCCGAUGUCCUCAUACUCAUUGAAGGGGAAGGUGCCACUCAAGCUGACAUACAGCACAACACCUACGGCC